GCUUUGUGGCUAACUCUAAGAGCUAAGAUGCUCAGUUGACACCGAUUCUUGGUCACGUCAUUUGCAGGCUGGAUCUAGCCUGGUUUACAUGAAUGUAAGAGAGGAAUUGUCCCCAGUGAAACACAGGGAAGCAGCAAAAGGUAUGCUUAGACCAACGCCCUGAACUCCACAGAGACACCAUCCCAAAUUAAUUCUCCAGGUUGCAGCUGCAUGAUCUUGCUAAAGAAAGAUUACUGACUCAUGGGAAAGGAGUUCUAGCAAGGCUCAGGGUAGGAGAGCACAUUGUUUAGAAGUGAAGGUAGCAUUAGACUCCCUAAACCAUAUACCUGUGAAGUGGUGUAAUACCACUGCAAAAUGCAACAUUCAAAAACAAAG
rnacentral:lncRNA from 1 species